rnacentral:rRNA from 1 species
UCAUAGUGAACGCUGGCGGCGUAGAUUAGGCAUGCAAGUCGAGCGAUACUUUGGGCGGCAAGGUUGAAGCCGUAAGGCAGAUGCCAAGUUGCCCGAAGAUAUAGCGGCAGACUGGCGAGGAACACGUGAGUAAUCUACCUCUAAGUCGGGUAUAGCUUUGCGAAAGUAAGGGUAAUACCCGAUGUGUUUAUAAAGGCGCAAGUUUUUAUAAGUAAAGGCGCUCCGCAAGGGGUGUUGCUUAGAGAUGAGCUCGCGUCCUAUCAGCUAGUUGGUAGGGUAAUGGCCUACCAAGGCUUUUGACGGGUAGCUGGCCUGAGAGGGUGGUCAGCCGCACGGGGACUGAGACACUGCCCCGACUCCUACGGGAGGCUGCAGUCGAGGAUAUUUAGCAAUGGACGCAAGUCUGACUAUGUGACGCCGCGUGAGGGAUGAAGGUCUUCGGCUCGUAAACCUCUUUCGACAGGAAAGAAACUUCCGGUUAACUGCCGGAACUGACGGUACCUGGAGAAGAAGCUACGGCCAACUCUGUGCCAGCAGCCGCGGUAAUACAGAGGUAGCGAGCGUUACUCGGAUUUAUUGGGUGUAAAGGGCAGGUAGGCGGCUAUAUAAGUGGGAGGUGAAAUCCUUGGGCUCAACCCAAGAACUGCCUUUCAAACUGCAUAGCUUGAGGACAGAAGAGGAAAGCGGAAUUCCCGGUGUAAGGGUGAAAUCUGUAGAGAUCGGGAGGAACACCAGUGGCGAAGGCGGCUUUCUGGUCUGUCCCUGACGCUAAGCUGCGAAAGCUAGGGGAGCAAACAGGAUUAGAUACCCUGGUAGUCCUAGCCGUAAACGAUGAGCACUAGGUGUUGGGGGGUAACCUUCAGCGCCGUAAGUUAACACGUUAAGUGCUCCACCUGGGGACUACGACCGCAAGGUUAAAACUCAAAGGAAUUGACGGGGGCCUGCACAAGCGGUGGAACAUGUGGUUCAAUUCGACGCUACGCGAAGAACCUCACCAGGGCUUGACAUGUAGGAAGUAGUGAACCGAAAGGGGAACGAUCUGUCAAGUCAGAAGCCUGCACAGGUGCUACAUGGCUGUCGUCAGCUCGUGUCGUGAGAUGUUGGGUUAAGUCCCGCAACGAGCGCAACCAUCAUCCUUAGUUGCCACUCUCGAAGCCGAAAGGCCUAGAGAAGCACUCUAGGGAGACUGCCCGCGAUAAGCGGGAGGAAGGUGGAGAUGACGUCAAGUCAGUAUGGCCUUUAUGCCCUGGGCUACACACGUGUUACAAUGCUCACUACAAAGCGUUGCCAACCCGCGAGGGGGAGCUAACCGCAAAAAAGUGGGCUCAGUUCAGAUUGGAGUCUGCAACUCGACUCCAUGAAGACGGAAUCGCUAGUAAUGGCGGAUCAGCUACGCCGCCGUGAAUACGUUCCCA